AUUAAUAGCUGGAUGUAGCACUAUGGAUCUGUGUUUGGUUCUGAUUAAUGGCUGGAUGUAGCACUAUGGAUCUGUGUUUGGUUCUUAUUAACAGCUGGAGGUAGCGCUAUAGAUCUGUGUUUGGUUCUGAUUAAUGGCUGGAUGUAGCACUAUGGAUCUGUGUUUGGUUCUGAUUAAUGGCUGGAUGUAGCACUAUGGAUCUGUGUUUGGUUCUGAUUAAUGGCUGGAUGUAGCACUAUGGAUCUGUGUUUGGUUCUGAUUAACGGCUGGAUGUAGC